GGGUUAACUUCUAUCCUUGAAACUUCUGUCCUUGCUCAAACUUCUUUGUGCAAAACAUGCUUAUAUGGCACGUACUCCCCAGCUGGCCUGAGCAGCCCCCAAUGCCCUUGGGCGAAUAUGUUUCUUAUCUCUUGUUAUCACGCAUACCAGCACACCCCACUCUCACAACUUCUACAAUGUUUCUUUCUGCAGACACACUCUUCUCAGUUUCCCUUAGGCUAAGGCAUACCUUUGUAACACGUCAUAUUGGCUAUAUAAGCAACUGCUGUAACCCUAAUAAAUCGGAACUUGCUUUGCAACACACGUGCCUACUGUGUCAUUCUUUGUAAGACCCCUGCGCAGUGUAUCUGGAGGGUGUAAUCAGAUGGUUUCUGCCGUGCCAAGACGAACCGGUUCGCACAGGGAUAGCACAAGGAUAGCACAGUGAAAGCCCGGGAUUUCUCCUGUUCCUUUCAGCUGGUGUCAAGAAGUGGGAUCGGUUGGAUAUCCGGAGAAGCUUCUUGGGAAAUAGUUUUCAAAUUUAACCAAGAUGCCCAAGAGUCUGCUGUCCAGUAUGCUAUUACCUUUGUGUCAGGAUUACUAAAUGAUCCUCAAAGUAACCUCAGCAUACAUAGUCUUGCCUGGAAG